GCCAAGUUUAGAUGUCUAGAUGGCUACACAAAGGAUUUAAAAUCCCUCGCCUUUCGGGGCGUGCCAGUUCAAGUCUGGCCUCGGGCACCA
rnacentral:tRNA from 1 species